rnacentral:rRNA from 1 species
CAGUCGCCACGGUAAUACGUAGGGUGCGAGCGUUAAUCGGAAUUAUUGGGCGUAAAGGGCUCGCAGGCGGUUUCUUAAGUCUGAUGUGAAAGCCCCCGGCUCAACCGGGGAGGGUCAUUGGAAACUGGGAAACUUGAGUGCAGAAGAGGAGAGUGGAAUUCCACGUGUAGCGGUGAAAUGCGUAGAGAUGUGGAGGAACACCAGUGGCGAAGGCGACUCUCUGAUCUGUAACUGACGCUGAGGAGCGAAAGCGUGGGGAGCGAACAGGAUUAGAUACCCAGUAGUCCCUGUCUCUUAUACA